GGAGUUAGCCGGUGCUUCUUCUGUGAGUGAUGUCCUUCCUGCCGGUUAUUGACCCGCAGGCCUUCUUCCUCACUGAAAGUGCUUUACAACCCGAAGGCCUUCUUCACACACGCGGCAUGGCUGGAUCAGGGUUGCCCCCAUUGUCCAAUAUUCCCCACUGCUGCCUCCCGUAGGAGUCUGGGCCGUGUCUCAGUCCCAGUGUGGCUGAUCAUCCUCUCAGACCAGCUACGGAUCGUCGCCUUGGUUAGCCGUUACCUCACCAACCAGCUAAUCCGACAUAGGCUCAUCCGAUAGCGCGAGGCCCGAAGGUCCCCCGCUUUCCCCCGUAGGGCGUAUGCGGUAUUAGCCUGGGUUUCCCCAGGUUAUCCCCCACUACCGGGCAGAUUCCUAUGCAUUACUCACCCGUCCGCCGCUCGCCACCAGGGAGCAAGCUCCCCGUGCUGCCGCUCGACUUGCAUGUGUUAGGCCUGCCGCCAGCGUUCAAUCUGAGCCAGAAUCGAACCCUGA
rnacentral:rRNA from 1 species